rnacentral:lncRNA from 1 species
UAGAUUACAGCCGACCUAAGAUGAAUAAUAUAUACGAUCUGUUGAUCAUAGAGACAAUGCAUAUAUCUAUAUACUAUAAAUGUGUGUAUUAUAAAAGAAACAAUUCUCCGAAGGCUGAGUUAAGUUGGUGGUGGAUAUAUAUGAAUGGUAAAGAUCCACCUAAUGGUUCUCACGUGCAGUUGAAUGGAAGGUAGACUUCUGAAAUAAAUUUGGUGUAACGAUAAUAAAAAUUUGACCAACACAUUUUCACUAAACCAAAACACUUAAUCA